rnacentral:rRNA from 1 species
GACGAACGCUGGCGGCGUGCCUAAUACAUGCAAGUAGAACGCUGAAGAGAGGAGCUUGCUCUUCUUGGAUGAGUUGCGAACGGGUGAGUAACGCGUAGGUAACCUGCCUUGUAGCGGGGGAUAACUAUUGGAAACGAUAGCUAAUACCGCAUAACAAUGGAUGACACAUGUCAUUUAUUUGAAAGGGGCAAUUGCUCCACUACGAGAUGGACCUGCGUUGUAUUAGCUAGUAGGUGAGGUAACGGCUCACCUAGGCGACGAUACAUAGCCGACCUGAGAGGGUGAUCGGCCACACUGGGACUGAGACACGGCCCAGACUCCUACGGGAGGCAGCAGUAGGGAAUCUUCGGCAAUGGGGGCAACCCUGACCGAGCAACGCCGCGUGAGUGAAGAAGGGUUUCGGAUCGUAAAGCUCUGUUGUAAGUCAAGAACGAGUGUGAGAGUGGAAAGUUCACACUGUGACGGUAGCUUACCAGAAAGGGACGGCUAACUACGUG